rnacentral:rRNA from 1 species
UACGUAGGGCGCAAGCGUUGUCCGGAAUUAUUGGGCGUAAAGAGCUCGUAGGCGGCUUGUCGCGUCGUCCGUGAAAACCUGCAGCUCAACUGCAGGCUUGCGGUCGAUACGGGCAGGCUGGAGUUCGGUAGGGGAGACUGGAAUUCCUGGUGUAGCGGUGAAAUGCGCAGAUAUCAGGAGGAACACCGGUGGCGAAGGCGGGUCUCUGGGCCGAUACUGACGCUGAGGAGCGAAAGCGUGGGGAGCGAACAGG